UCGUAACAAGGUUUCCGUAGGUCGAGUUCAGCCUACGACAGCGGCGCGCCAGCGCUAGCUAGUCAGACCCAGCGGUCUGGCGACACGCUCAAUGUGCGGAGAGAGCCUGGAAGAAACAGGCAAAUCCGCAGCCCACCGCCCUUACCCGGCGGUCGGCUCAGAGACUCAAUGAGUGUGGGUUUGGCGCAUAGCCAGGCUUAAGAUAGAGCCCAGCCCAGCAGGCAAUUGCUGGGAGCAACUGGAACCUGCGGAAGGAUCAUUA
rnacentral:ncRNA from 1 species